CAGCCGCCGCGGGAAUACGAAGGGUGCAAGCGUUACUCGGAAUUACUGGGCGUAAAGCGUGCGUAGGUGGUGGUUUAAGUCCGUUGUGAAAGCCCUGGGCCCAACCUGGGAAUUGCAGUGGAUACUGGGUCACUAGAGUGUGGUAGAGGAUAGUGGAAUUUCCGGUGUAGCAGUGAAAUGCGUAGAGAUCGGAAGGAACAUCUGUGGCGAAGGCGACUAUCUGGGCCAACACUGACACUGAGGCACGAAAGCGUGGGGAGCAAACAGGAUUAGAUACCCCAGUAGUCCCUGUCUCUUAUAC
rnacentral:rRNA from 1 species